rnacentral:lncRNA from 1 species
CUCAGAAGGACGAGGCACUGUCCACCUUCUUGUCAUGCCUGUGUAACGGCUCUCCCGUGGGACAUUAAUGGAAAAGUUGUUUGGACACUAAACCAGAUAUGAUAAGCAAGUGUCCCCGUCUUUCACCCUCAGCAAUGACGUACUUACCUUGA